UGCGGAUGUGGCGGAACUGGCAGACGCGCUGGAUUUAGGUUCCAGUGCCUUCGGGCGUGCAGGUUCGAUUCCUGUCAUCCGUAU
rnacentral:tRNA from 3 species